AAAUUAACAUUAUAACGGCGUAAAGGGUGGUUACAUGCUAUCCAAGUAACUAAGAUUAAAAGGCAGCUGAGUCGUCACAAGCCCAAGCCGCCCAUAAGGCCUCUAUUCAAAGAAAAUCUUAGACUAACGAUUAAUUGAAAUCCACGAAAGCCAGGGCCCAAACUGGGAUUAGAUACCCCACUAUGCCUGGCCCUAAAUCUUGAUGCUCGAUCUUACUGGAGCAUCCGCCCGAGAACUACGAGCAUAAACGCUUAAAACUCUAAGGACUUGGCGGUGCUCCAAACCCGCCUAGAGGAGCCUGUUCUAUAAUCGAUGAUCCACGCUUUACCUCACCAUUCCUUGCUCAAUAACAGCCUAUAUACCGCCGUCGCCAGCCCACCCCCAUGAUGGUUCAACAGU
rnacentral:rRNA from 1 species